CGGAAAAUCACCCUAUGCCACGGCACGGGACAUCAUUUUAAACCUUGCUAGCCACUCAACCCUAGAUAACCACUAUCAUCAUUCUAGAAACCACUGUCACUCUAACCACACAUCUCUUUAUUCAACGACCGAAAGCUUAUGAGUACAAAGAGAUUUAUACGCAUAAAAGUAUAGUAGCCCUACUCUGUAUAAAUAUGUACUUAAGUUUAAUUCAUCUGCUUUGAUUCAACUCUUUAAUAUCUUGAAAUUU
rnacentral:lncRNA from 1 species